rnacentral:tRNA from 1 species
GGUGUGGCUCAACAGUAGAACAUCUGCCUGGCGUGCAGAAGGUCCCAGGAUCAAUUCCUGGGUGAAUCU